rnacentral:rRNA from 1 species
GGGGGGGGGGGGGGGGGGGGGGGGGGGGGGGAGGGGGGGGGGGGGGGCGGGGGGGUGGGGGGGCGGACGUGGGCGGCGGGCGGGGGAGGAACACGGGGGUAACGUACCUAGAAGACGGGGAUAACUGCGGGAAACCGGAGCGAAUACCGGAUAAUAUAUUGAACCGCAUGGUUCAAUAGUGAAAGACGGUUUUGCUGUCACUUAUAGAUGGAUCCGCGCCGCAUUAGCUAGUUGGUAAGGUAACGGCUUACCAAGGCGACGAUGCGUAGCCGACCUGAGAGGGUGAUCGGCCACACUGGAACUGAGACACGGUCCAGACUCCUACGGGAGGCAGCAGUAGGGAAUCUUCCGCAAUGGGCGAAAGCCUGACGGAGCAACGCCGCGUGAGUGAUGAAGGUCUUCGGAUCGUAAAACUCUGUUAUUAGGGAAGAACAAAUGUGUAAGUAACUAUGCACGUCUUGACGGUACCUAAUCAGAAAGCCACGGCUAACUACGUG